GCUGGCGGUAUGCCUAACACAUGCAAGUUGAACGAAAGCUUUAGCUUUAGUAGCGGACGGGUGAGUAAUACGUGAGAAUCUGCCUUUGGGAGGGGAACAACAAUUGGAAACGAUUGCUAAUGCCCCAUAUGCUUUAGAGUGAAAAGGUUAAACCGCCCGAAGAUGAGCUCACGCCUGAUUAGCUAGUUGGUAGAGUAAUAGCCUACCAAGGCUACGAUCAGUAGCUGGUUUGAGAGGAUGAUCAGCCACACUGGGACUGAGAUACGGCCCAGACUUCUACGGAAGGCAGCAGUGGGGAAUUUUCCGCAAUGGGCGCAAGCCUGACGGAGCAAUACCGCGUGAGGGAAGAAUGCCUGUGGGUUGUAAACCUCUUUUUUUAGGGAAGAAAAUUUGACGGUACCUAAAGAAUAAGCAUCGGCUAACUCCGUGCCAGCAGCCGCGGUAAU
rnacentral:rRNA from 1 species